AUAAUCUAAUAAUAUAUUUUAUGUAAAUAAAUAUUCACAAUUAUACAUUACUUUAAAAUAUUAUUUUAAAUUUUAAUGAAUAGGUUAGUUUUUAAUUAGGUCUAGCAAGUUUUAUUUGAAACACCACGUCAAGUUCAUCUUCCUAACCCAAGCAGUUCAUCUCCUCCGCAGUCAAGCACCAUAGAGAGGAAGAACGGCACGUCGGCACUUCACCAUUACACCCAUCUUUUCCUUCGACAUCACACGCGUUAAGAACACCAAGAGAACACUAGUGUUAGAUGGCCAAAAGAAAUCUAGAUGCAAAAGAUUUAAAAGAGAAUGGUGAGAAAAGAAUGAGAACUAUUGAUAGCGAAGGAGGAAGUUUUGAGCAGAAGUUUGAAAGAAAAGAAGCAAAAGAAGGUCAUACGGCGGUAUGAAUUACAUCAAAUAUAUGCACCUAAUUUAUAGCUCAUUGACAUUUAUACUUGAGAUUGAUCAUAAUAGCUAAACUCUUUUUUAUGUCAGGUACCUAAUGUGAGGUGUUGUCCAGAAAAAAUGAAUUUGA